AGAGUGAACGCUGGCGGUAGGCCUAACACAUGCAAGUCGAACGGCAGCACAGUGGUAGCAAUACCAUGGGUGGCGAGUGGCGGACGGGUGGGGAAUACAUCGGAAUCUACCUUUUCGUGGGGGAUAACGGUAGGGAAACUUACGCUAAUACCGCAU
rnacentral:rRNA from 1 species